rnacentral:tRNA from 1 species
GAAAAAGUAUGCAAGAACUGCUAACUCUAUGCCCCCAUGUUUAACAUCAUGGCUUUUUCA